rnacentral:rRNA from 1 species
UACGAAGGGGGCUAGCGUUGCUCGGAAUCACUGGGCGUAAAGGGCGCGUAGGCGGCCAUUCAAGUCGGAGGUGAAAGCCCAGGGCUCAACCCUGGAAUUGCCUUCGAUACUGUUUGGCUAGAGACCGGAAGAGGUAAGUGGAACUGCGAGUGUAGAGGUGAAAUUCGUAGAUAUUCGCAAGAACACCAGUGGCGAAGGCGGCUUACUGGUCCGGUUCUGACGCUCAGGCACGAAAGCGUGGGGAGCAAAAGGG